UGGGGAAUCUUGCGCAAUGGGCGAAAGCCUGACGCAGCGACGCCGCGUGAGUGAUGAAGGCCUUCGGGUUGUAAAGCUCUGUGGGGAGAGAAGAAUAAGUGCGGGCUAAUACCCCGCAUGAUGACGGUAUCUCCUUAGCAAGCACCGGCUAACUCUGUGCCAGCAGCCGCGGUAAGACGAGGGGUCCUAGCGUUGUUCGGAAUCAUUGGGCGUAAAGCGUAUGUAGGCGGCUUAAACAGUCAGGUGUGAAAGCCCUGGGCUCAACCUAGGAAGUGCACUUGAUACUAUUAAGCUAGAGUAUUGGAGAGGGCAGUGGAAUUCCUGGUGUAGUGGUGAAAUACGUAGAUAUCAGGAGGAACACCGGUGGCGAAGGCGGCUGCCUGGCCAAAUACUGACGCUGAGAUACGAAAGCGUGGGUAGCAAACAGGAUUAGAUACCCUUGUAGUCCCUGAGCGGGCUGGCAAGGCGCAU
rnacentral:rRNA from 1 species